rnacentral:lncRNA from 1 species
CCUCGGCCUGAGCCUCGUGGAAUUUGGGUAUUAUUAUGACUGGGAGGAGUGGCUUCGUUUAAACUAACAUAUUCGUCAUGGCCCAGCCAGGUUUCGGUGAGGCAGAAUAAAUCAAUGUGGUUAUCUGAUAUCAAUUCGUUUACCAAUAAUGCUUUCGAUGACAGAGAUCUAAUAUUUAAUAGUCCACAUUUGAUUUUCCUAUUCUGUUCUGUCGUUGCAGUGGUUGUUUUAAUUCCAAUUAGGUUGUUUAGUAUAGCACCUCUUUUGUUAGCGUUUGGUUUAAACGGUCUCAGUCGGGGGACAGACACGGUGGUUAUGGGAUUAUGAAUGGGUGAUUGCUCUGAAGGGAGCACAGAGGGGCGUAUAGCGCUGUAUCUCUGAUUAUUGACUUUGGGAGAGUGUGUCUGGUCAGUGUGCUUGUGGGAGUGUUUACGGGAUGUAAACAGUCAAUCAGAGGUCUGGGUAUGCAGGGCGUGGUGCAAAUUUCCACGUAGCAUCUGGCUUCCGCGUGUAUUGGGAUGAAUCCCAUCCCUGCUGAACAGGGAGCCACGUUCCCAAAACAGAUUGAAGUUGUCAAUAAAACCUAUCCUGUGAAUACUGCAUGUGAGCUGGAGCCAGGUGUUAAGGGAGAGUAGUCUGCUAAAGAGGCCUGAUCCGCGACCUAGAGAUGGAAGUGGGCCCGAAAUAAAAACCGACUUCCCAGUGCUUUUUAAAGCCUCAAUGAGAGUGGUAAAGUCUCGCCUUGUGCGCUCACACUCCUGAAUCCGAGUGGACAUGUCGUUAUGUCCACAAUGGACCACGAUGCGUUUGAUAGAGGUCGGAAAUGAGGGUAUCAGGUCCAUAACUUUAGCCAGGAUGUCUGCAACUUUGGCUCCGGGAAAACAGUGUGUGACAGCAUUAUGAAACCGUAGGUCUCUAGUGAUGACUGAACUGAAGACUAAAGAUGCGUCCCUGAAACCAGCCAAAUCCUCCAAAACCUCCAAGGCUCAAAGUGCUGCUGUCCAGACUGGAAGGAUUGAAAUAAUGGGAAUUAAAACGUCAAAAAAGAAGAAAAAGAACAAAAAGCUGGUUGUGGAGUUCAACGGCCAGAUGCAGACGUUUUUUGUGAAAACUCAACUUCUGGCAAAAGCAUUUGGCCUCAAAGUGGACGAUGAUUUUGAAAGGAGACUCCGCUAUCAAAUGCCGCUCACAGCAGAAGCAACAUUACUAGGAAAAAAAAUCACAUACAUUAGGGUUAACCCUAACCUGGGUAGGAAAUCAAUUAUCCC